rnacentral:rRNA from 2 species
UUUUAUGGAGAGUUUGAUCCUGGCUCAGAGUGAACGCUGGCGGCGUGCCUAAUACAUGCAAGUCGAACGAUGAAGCUUCUAGCUUGCUAGAAGUGGAU